rnacentral:lncRNA from 1 species
UAGAAUUUGAUGGAUAGAUAGCUUGCUUGUUAUAUAUGAUUCAUAUUAGAUAAAGAACUUGAUCAAUAUCAGGUAUGGGAAAAAAAUAAAGUAAAUGUGUUUUUAAUAUUUAGUCAUUGCAAUAAAAUUAAUAAAUAAUCCUUGCAAUAAAAGUGAGGUAAAAAAUAGAAUAAAUGUGUUUUUAAUAUUUAGUCCUUGCAAUAAAAUUAGGUAAAUAAAAAGUUUGCCUUUUAAAUUAGAGUGACAUGAACCCACCC